UACGAAGGGGGGCUAGCGUUGCUCGGAAUCACUGGGCGUAAAGCGCACGUAGGCGGCUUUCUAAGUCAGGGGUGAAAUCCCUGGAGCUCAACUCCAGAACUGCCUUUGAUACUGGAGAGCUAGAGUCCGGAAGAGGUGAGUGGAACUGCGAGUGUAGAGGUGAAAUUCGUAGAUAUUCGCAAGAACACCAGUGGCGAAGGCGGCUCACUGGCCCGGAACUGACGCUGAGGCGCGAAAGCGUGGGGAGCAAACAGG
rnacentral:rRNA from 1 species